CAAUAGCGUAUAUUUAAGUUGCUGCAGUUAAAAAGCUCGUAGUUGGAUUUCGGGUGGGAAUGGCCGGUCCGCCGUUUCGGUGUGCACUUGCUACGCCCACCUUGCUGCCGGGGACGUGCUCUUGAGUUCACGCUCGGGACACGGAGUCGGCGAGGUUACUUUGAGUAAAUUAGAGUGUUCAAAGCAGGCCUACGCUCUGAAUACAUUAGCAUGGAAUAACACGAUAGGACUCUGGCCUAUCUUGUUGGUCUGUAGGGCCGGAGUAAUGAUUAAGAGGGACAGUCGGGGGCAUUCGUAUUUCAUUGUCAGAGGUGAAAUUCUUGGAUUUACGAAAGACGAACUACUGCGAAAGCAUUUGCCAAGGAUGUUUUCAUUAA
rnacentral:rRNA from 1 species